rnacentral:lncRNA from 1 species
AGGGAUAAGCUUCUGGUAUACUGAAUAUAAUUUCUUUCCCAAUUGCAAGUUGCUAAAUCAUGGCUGGGGUGAAGGUGAACCGAUCCCCCACCCCCACGAGAUGGAGGAUUCACCGGAGGAUUAACAGUAUUUAUUUAGGGCUUAAACCAGCAACCUAAAAUGCAGAGGGAAUUCCGCUUCAACAAAAUAAAGAAAGAAAUAGUCCCUUUAGCCCAAUAAAGUGCAUUUUUGCAAGAAUCCCCCUGCCUAGCCCCAUCUGAAGAAAAAGUUUAUAAAUGACUCCUAGGGCUGGGAAGAGCCUAAGGAAAACGGGCUAGGGUGGGAACAGUUAAUAGAUAUGACAAUACAUAAAGAACCCCAUUGGUCUCAAAAAUCUGUUUUCAAGGCAGCUCAGAUUCUUCCUCGAGGAUGAAAGGGGGGAUGCUGGGCUAUUGAUACUCCGUACCUACUGCAGCUGGUGCAGCAAACCAGGCGGCACAAAGCAUCUUCCUAGCCAGGCGGCCCUGCUGUCUCCUAGGCAUCUCACUCAGUCACUGUGGGAGCUGAGAAACCUUCCUCUCGCUCCCCUCCACACGCACAUAGCCUAGGUGCAGCCUAAUUGAAACCCACCCCACCGUCGCCGUACCAGACCACACCACACAUCUCCAGACGCAGCCUCCUUCGCCACCCGCACCCCAACCAAGUAUUCCACGGGAAGCAAUCCAAAAGCCCUUCCAGCAAUCUGUUCGAUGGCUGGAUCAGGUUACCGGAGGCAGCCGUCUCAACACUAGCGGUGGCGGCGGCCGCAGCAAUAGCAUCAGAAGCCUCUCCAUGGUUCCCAGCAAACCCUGCGCACACACGACCUACAGGCGGGAGGGGGAGUGCAAGAAUUCCUCCUUAAAAUAACAAUGCUUUCCUCCCAUCCUUUCACACACACACACACACACCCUUUUUUUAAAGGAAGGACAGCUACAUCUCGAAUGCAUCUUUUGGUCCUUUGCUAAAAAAUAAAUAAAAAAUAAAUUAAUUAAAUUUAAAAAAA